rnacentral:rRNA from 1 species
GACGAACGCUGGCGGCGUGCUUAACACAUGCAAGUCGAACGGAAAGGCCCUGCUUUUGUGGGGUGCUCGAGUGGCGAACGGGUGAGUAACACGUGAGUAACAUGCACUUGACUUUGGGAUAACUUCAGGAAACUGGGGCUAAUACCGGAUAGGAGCUCCUGCUGCAUGGUGGGGGUUGGAAAGUUUCGGCGGUUGGGGAUGGACUCGCGGCUUAUCAGCUUGUUGGUGGGGUAGUGGCUUACAAGGGCUUUGACGGGUAGCCGGCCUGAGAGGGUGACCGGCCACAUUGGGACUGAGAUACGGCCCAGACUCCUACGGGAGGCAGCAGUGGGGAAUAUUGCACAAUGGGGGGAAGCCUGAUGCAGCAACGCCGCGUGCGGGAUGACGGCCUUCGGGUUGUAAACCGCUUUCGCCUGUGACGAAGCGUGAGUGACGGUAAUGGGUAAAGAAGCACCGGCUAACUACGUG